rnacentral:lncRNA from 1 species
UUUUAUUCACAUUUGUUGAAAGUUGACCAACCACCUUAUUAAACAAAGCUCUCUCUCUCUCUCUAUAUCUAUCUAUAUAUAUACACCUAGCUAGCUAGGUAGUUAUUAAAAGGAGGGAAAUAAUUAAUGGAAUUGGGAAACAAUUACAAGAAGUCGUAUGGAACAUCGAUCAUGGGCGGAUGAAUGGGACUCCCAGCCGGAAUAUCACGCGCAUGCACCUCAAUCAUCUUCCAAGAAGAAGAAGAGUAGUAGUUCUAGUAGUGGCACAUCAUCAGGCAUGGCUUCCAAAUAUGGAAGGAUAGUUGGAGAUGGAUUUGGGAAGACUAAAUCAUUGGCUUCAAAAGGUGCCAAGAAAAUCAAAGGAGCCACCUCCCUUGCCCUUCAAUGGAUCAAACAAAAGUAUCACAAGUAGAAGUUUUGAAAAGAUUGCGUCAAUUGAAUACAUAUGUAUGUAUACUUGUUAAGAAUGCAAAUCUUAAAAGUUAAAUGAUAUAAAUAUAUAAUCGAUGUUAGCUUGCUAGCUAGCUUCUUUUCUUAAUUUAUAGCUCUUGAUAUUGUGUUAGUGUUUCUUAAUUAUCCUUUUGUAAAUUUUACUUAGUAGACUUAAUUCCACGAUUUUGUACAAGUCCGCUCGUGACUCCUACUUAUAAUUUGAUCAUCUUCCUAUUCCAUCAACUAGCAACUGCCAACUAGCUAGCUCAUCUGACAUCUCAAUUAGGCUGCAUGUUUGUGCGGCAUAUAUGUCAACCCUGAAUUAAGUUUUGAA